UAAAGAAAACACUCAACGAACGGCUGGUCUGAUACAGUUUUUGUCUGUGGCGACUGGGUUCACGAUUAUGACUCUUUUAACAAAGUACUUAGAAAAUUAAUUUGUAUUUAAUAAGUUAAAUACUUUUUCUUGUCCUUUUUAAUGGAAAUAAGUAGGUGAUAACGAAAAACGUUUUUAUAACAACAUGACGUGAUGUGGACAAUAAGUUUUUGUUAUAAUGGAUUUUAUUACUAUUUAAUUAAGAGAUAAC